rnacentral:piRNA from 1 species
UGCUGUGGUUGUUGGAUAACAUGGC